GUUAAGAAAUGCUCAUGCAUCAAAAUAUAAACUUUCAAGAUCAUUGAAUUGCAAUAAAGUAAUAUCAUCCAACAGAUCAUUAACACCACCACCGGGGAUUAUACAAUUCAAUAAUCUCCACCAAUUUUUUCAAUUCCAUAUUGACUCGAAUUUUAUCUUUUGAAAGUAUCAUUUUUUAAUUGCGAUUUAUCAAAGAUUGAGAGACACAGAUUCCAUCCGUACCGCAACAUCCUCCAUAGGUAAGUGUACUACUAAAAAAUUGAUAUAUCAUUUUAACUAGUAGAUUUGUGAAUCAGUUCAAAAAGUUCUCAAUCUAGAUUGGAAUUGUAAAGUUUACAAAAGCUCCCCCAAAAUUUCUUUCAGUUCACAAUCAAAUAGUUUUUAAACUUUUAUUAAAAAUUUACUUUGUUUUAAUGAUUCGAUUUUUUCUGGUACACGAUCAAAUACUCGGGUUUUAGUUUAUUGAAUUUUAUUUUACCAUCACCAAAAGAAAAAUCAAAUAUGUUCUGAUAUUUUCGAUAAUGAUUAAAAAAUUGCUCAAAAAGAUUAAGAAUUGAUGAUCAACUAAGGGGAAUCAAAAUUGGGGUACCUAAUGAUCCAGUACCAACAACUGAUUUAUUCAAUUAAAAACCACUACCAAAAACAAUAGUCGUUCAAUGAAUUUUUGAUUUAAAGGGCUCCCUUUAUGGUUAGUUUCCAAUACUGUUUUUGUUUGUUGUUUGGCAAUAGGUAUGUAUUAAUGAUAAAGUUCAUUUUUGGUUAUUGUUUAGGUGUGGUUGAAUUUCUUUUACAAGGUGUUGUUGGAAUAUUAUGAUUAAAUUGAGUUCAUAAAGAAUUUUGGGUAUUUUGUUGAUUGAGAUAGAUUGAAUUUGGAUUUUUUUUU
rnacentral:telomerase_RNA from 1 species